GUACAAGGUAUCAUCUUUGAGUUAAAACAGUUCAACAGUGAGAAUAUUCCACAUGAUCCUGCCAUUAUUAGAGUUCCCUACGAUUAUUUAAUUCCCAGUCUAAGAUUUUCCCAGUUGUCCCACAAAUGAAACAAGUUUGAUCCUGUAGGACAACUCCUCAAAUUCUGGUUCUGGGAAUUAUAAAUCCAGCCUGGGAAAAGAGCUAGGCAAACCAGUCAGUAUAAUCAACUGAUUUGAUAAAGAUCUCUAUGAAGACUGUAAUGGAAGGAAUGUUCAGUUUUAUCUGUGUGAGGCUGGUUAAGAAAUUCCUUGGUCACAUUUUGUCCUGUUCUGGAAAAACGAACAGGUGAUUUGGAGGGCAGAGUAGGUGAGCUAGGAUUGAAUGACCAAAGGGCAUUUUAGGUUGAAGUUGCUACUUGCUACAAAGCUACUUAAAAUAGCCUGCAGAAAGUAUUCAGUCAGACUGGGGGUGCGUCUGGUGUCAGGUACAGUGAGCAUCAGAGAUACUGUUCAAUUUGGACCAAGUCAGAAUUGAAGGGAUUGCUUACUUGCUGGACUGAAAGUGUGAAUUUUGUUCUAGGGAUUUUUGUGAUUCCCAAAUUCCCUUACCUGGCCAUUUUUUUUUACCCUUUAUAGUGUUAUU